rnacentral:rRNA from 1 species
CCUACGGGGAGCUGCAGUGGGGGAUAUUGCACAAUGGGGGAAACCCUGAUGCAGCGACGCCGCGUGUGGGAAGACGGUCUUCUGGAUUGUAAACCACUGUCCCCAGGGACGAAAAUGACGGUACCUGGGGAGGAAGCUCCGGCUAACUACGUGCCAGCAGCCGCGGUAAUACGUAGGGAGUAAGCGUUGUCCGGAAUUACUGGGUGUAAAGGGAGCGUAGGCGGGGAUGCAAGUUGGGUGUCAAAACUACCGGCUCAACCGAUAGUCGCACUCAAAACUGCAGCUCUUGAGUGAAGUAGAGGCAGGCGGAAUUCCUAGUGUAGCGGUGAAAUGCGUAGAUAUUAGGAGGAACACCAGUGGCGAAGGCGGCCUGCUGGGCUUUUACUGACGCUGAGGCUCGAAAGUGUGGGGAGCAAACAGGAUUAGAUACCCGGGUAGUC